rnacentral:lncRNA from 1 species
GUUGUUCAUGGUUUCACUAGCAAUACCAAUAGCACAGGGACACUCUUUGUUCAUUCAGACUAGUUAUUUUUCUCCUCUUGUAAUAUUUUGCUUCUAUCACAUUUGGCUUAAACAAUCUCAUUCCACGACAUUCCUCCCUCCAUCCCUCCCCAAACCUUUUCACUGCUGCCUGACUGAUAAAAGCCUCCACAUCUGAUAUUAACUUAAAACUUCCUUGAUUCCUUGAAGUGAGUUAUUCAUUAACAGAUCCUAAAUUACUGGUUGUUAGGCAGAUCUUCUAAUUCUUUCAGGCUACGGAUCUGCUCAGAGAGCCUUCUGUAAAUCUACUGUAGAAAUAAGCAAAGCUUUGUGCCAAUUGUCAGCACUAAGCAGAAAUUUGAGAGAGGGAGGAGAAGUUACUCAUUUGCUCGAUUCAGCAUGGUGAGUCCAGGGGAGGGAAUCAAGUGCACCUCGGGCUUGACAAGCAGCGCCGGGAAGCACGGCUACAGGACAGAAGGGGGCCAGGGCGACUGGGCUGCUUCUGAGUAUGGUUGUGGGUUCCAGCUGAGUUGCUCUAAAGAUCGAGCAUUUUGCCAUCUAUUUCCUAUGAUGGCCAGAGUUUCCUGUGCUAAAAGGACAACCUAAUGAGAUAGACUGGAUGUGUAUUAGACCCAGUUUGCAGAUAAGAAAACUGAGGCUUGGGGAAGGGAAGAGAGUGAACCAGAGGUCUCAUAACCACCAAGUGGCCUCGUUGGAACUUGAAUCUGGGUCCCCAGACAAGCAGGUGCUUAGUAUGUAUUCAGUGCACAUAUGUUGAAUGAAACCUACCCUGAAAGUUCUCACUAAACAUCAUUUUCCUCACAAAGCCAUUCCUUAUCAUCUCUCUUCUCUCUUAUACUUCUCCAAACUUCUCUUUGUAGUGUCUAGGAGACUUUUUUCUGGAUCAUCCUUGUGGAAUAUUUGGUACAAGUCUCUCUCCCUCCCCUAACCUUAGAUGUGUGAAAGUUUUCAUAUAUAGCUGUGUGUUAAAAUGUUGCACAUGGUGGACAUGCAAGAAUAACAGCUGAAGUUAGAAACAUGAAUGUGGGGCUCCACACCA